rnacentral:lncRNA from 1 species
GUCGUUUGUUAGGACAGCCCAAGCAGACUUGAUUUGGGUACCAGGAAGUGGAAUGCUGCUGUAACAAAUACCUAGAAAUGGGCAAGCAGCUUCGGAACCAGGACUGGACAAUAGAGCUAUUUGGCAGCAAUCGUUCACUAUUCUUCUAGAAAAGGGAAGGAUGAUCCAAGGUGAUUCAGAGACCUAAUUAGCACCGUCUCCAUCCUGGUUUCAAAGUGUGGUGACAUCCUGGUUUCAAUAGGCCGUGCUGCCACCACCCAGAGCCUUGCAGAAGGCAAAGCCUCCUUAGGGAGUGAGGACAGUUUGAGUAUAAGCCGACUGAAGGUAAGAUGUAGGAAAAGUGCUACAGUCCUCCGCCCUACCUGCUGAGCUGUGGCCGGGAGCGCCGUGCUAAGUGGGACGAGUCAGACAGAGAGAGACAAGGACUGCGUGACGUCACUCAGUGUGGAAUCCAAAGAAGCCAAACUCACAGCACAGAGAGUAAAAUGGUGGCUACCAGGGGGUGCGAGAGAAAAUGUGGAUGGCACAUUCUAAGAGUGACAUGGGUAAAUGAGAGUACAUCCUGAGGAAGUGACGGGAUGGCAGAGGGUCUGGGAAACGAAGCCUGUAAGGACCCGUUAAAGGAAGUGGAGGUGUUUAUACUAGAAGGAGAAGGCUUCAAGGAAACAGAACUGCUUUCAAAUCUCCAACAAGACAGGGUGUGGAAAAGGGAUUACAUUUAUCCUGAGUAGUUCACAAGGACAAACUAUAACCAAUAAAUGAAAUGCAUAUGAUGGAAGAUUUUGGAUUGAAAAAAGGAAAAUUCACCAACAAUUCAAGCUGUCUCACACGAAGUGGGCUGCUGCCCUCCGAUUCCUGGACGUCCACAAACAUCCGAGCUUUGGAGAAGCAAAUUCCUAGAUUAUGUAAAACAUUAUACCAGAUGAUAUGAAGGACCAUUCCAAAUCUAAGCUGCUAUUAUGUGACAUCUCCAAAAUUACAACUACUUUGAUUCACUAAACUUACC